rnacentral:rRNA from 1 species
UACGUAGGGGGCAAGCGUUGUCCGGAAUCAUUGGGCGUAAAGAGCGUGUAGGCGGUCCGGUAAGUCGGCUGUGAAAGUCCAGGGCUCAACCCUGGGAUGCCGGCCGAUACUGCCGGACUAGAGUUCGGAAGAGGCGAGUGGAAUUCCCGGUGUAGCGGUGAAAUGCGCAGAUAUCGGGAGGAACACCUAUGGCGAAGGCAGCUCGCUGGGACGUUACUGACGCUGAGACGCGAAAGCGUGGGGAGCAAACAGG